rnacentral:rRNA from 1 species
AUACGUAGGGGGCGAGCGUUGUCCGGAAUGAUUGGGCGUAAAGGGCGCGUAGGCGGCCUGUUAAGUCUGGAGUGAAAGUCCUGUUUUCAAGAUGGGAAUUGCUUUGGAUACUGGGGGGCUUGAGUGCAGGAGAGGUUAUCGGAAUUCCCGGUGUAGCGGUGAAAUGCGUAGAGAUCGGGAGGAACACCAGUGGCGAAGGCGGGUAACUGGACUGCAACUGACGCUGAGGCGCGAAAGUGUGGGGAGCAAACAGGAUUAGAUACCCUGGUAGUCCACACUGUAAACGAUGAAUGCUAGGUGUAGGAGGUAUCGACCCCUUCUGUGCCGCAGUAAACACAGUAAGCAUUCCGCCUGGGGAGUACGGUCGCAAGAUUAAAACUCAAAUGAAUUGACGGGG